rnacentral:rRNA from 2 species
GAUUGACGUGCUUGCACUGAUUUCAACAUUGGAACGAGUGGCGAACUGGUGAGUAACACGUGGAAAACCUGCCCAGAAGCAGGGGAUAACACUUGGAAACAGGUGCUAAUACCGUAUAACAACAAAAACCGCAUGGUUUUUGUUUGAAAGGUGGCUUCGGCUAUCACUUCUGGAUGGUUCCGCGGCGCAUUAGCUAGUUGGUGAGGUAAAGGCCCACCAAGGCAAUGAUGCGUAGCCGACCUGAGAGGGUAAUCGGCCACAUUGGGACUGAGACACGGCCCAGACUCCUACGGGAGGCAGCAGUAGGGAAUCUUCCACAAUGGACGAAAGUCUGAUGGAGCAAUGCCGCGUGAGUGAAGAAGGGUUUCGGCUCGUAAAACUCUGUUGUUGAAGAAGAACGGGUGUCAGAGUAACUGUUGACAUCGUGACGGUAUUCAACCAGAAAGCCACGGCUAACUACGUGCCAGCAGCCGCGGUAAUACGUAGGUGGCAAGCGUUGUCCGGAUUUAUUGGGCGUAAAGCGAGCGCAGGCGGUUAUUUAAGUCUGAUGUGAAAGCCUUCGGCUUAACCGAAGAAGUGCAUCGGAAACUGGGUAACUUGAGUGCAGAAGAGGACAGUGGAACUCCAUGUGUAGCGGUGGAAUGCGUAGAUAUAUGGAAGAACACCAGUGGCGAAGGCGGCUGUCUAGUCUGUAACUGACGCUGAGGCUCGAAAGCAUGGGUAGCGAACAGGAUUAGAUACCCUGGUAGUCCAUGCCGUAAACGAUGAGUGCUAAGUGUUGGAGGGUUUCCGCCCUUCAGUGCUGCAGCUAACGCAUUAAGCACUCCGCCUGGGGAGUACGACCGCAAGGUUGAAACUCAAAGGAAUUGACGGGGGCCCGCACAAGCGGUGGAGCAUGUGGUUUAAUUCGAAGCUACGCGAAGAACCUUACCAGGUCUUGACAUCUUCUGCCAAUCUUAGAGAUAAGACGUUCCCUUCGGGGACAGAAUGACAGGUGGUGCAUGGUUGUCGUCAGCUCGUGUCGUGAGAUGUUGGGUUAAGUCCCGCAACGAGCGCAACCCUUAUUAUCAGUUGCCAGCAUUCAGUUGGGCACUCUGGUGAGACUGCCGGUGACAAACCGGAGGAAGGUGGGGAUGACGUCAAAUCAUCAUGCCCCUUAUGACCUGGGCUACACACGUGCUACAAUGGACGGUACAACGAGUUGCGAAGUCGUGAGGCCAAGCUAAUCUCUUAAAGCCGUUCUCAGUUCGGAUUGUAG